rnacentral:rRNA from 1 species
UACGUAGGGGGCAAGCGUUGUCCGGAUUUAUUGGGCGUAAAGGGCGCGUAGGCGGCGUGACAAGUCACUUGUGAAAUCUCCGGGCUUAACUCAGAACGGCCAAGUGAUACUGCAGUGCUAGAGUGCAGAAAGGGCAAUCGGAAUUCUUGGUGUAGCGGUGAAAUGCGUAGAUAUCAAGAGGAACACCUGAGGCGAAGGCGGGUUGCUAGGCUGACACUGACGCUGAGUGCGCGAAGCCAGGGGAGCAAACGGG